rnacentral:rRNA from 1 species
AAAGGAAUAGACGGGGACCCGCACAAGCAGCGGAGCAUGUGGUUUAAUUCGAAGCAACGCGAAGAACCUUACCAGGGCUUGACAUCCCUCUGCCCGGUCUAGAGAUAGGCCUUUCCCUUCGGGGACAGAGGUGACAGGUGGUGCAUGGUUGUCGUCAGCUCGUGUCGUGAGAUGUUGGGUUAAGUCCCGCAACGAGCGCAACCCUUGCUUCUAGUUGCCAUCAGGUAAAGCUGGGCACUCUAGAGGGACUGCCGAUGACAAAUCGGAGGAAGGUGGGGAUGACGUCAAAUCAUCAUGCCCCUUAUGUCCUGGGCUACACACGUGCUACAAUGGUCGGUACAGCGAGCAGCAAGCCAGUGAUGGUAAGCGAAUCUCUGAAAGCCGAUCUCAGUUCGGAUUGCAGGCUGCAACUCGCCUGCAUGAAGCCGGAGUUGCUAGUAAUCGCGAAUCAGAAUGUCGCGGUGAAUGCGUUCCCGGGUCUUGUACACACCGCCCGU